rfam:Eutrema salsugineum unplaced genomic scaffold scaffold_12, whole genome shotgun sequence.
AAACCAUGAUGAGGGCAGUCUCUCAUACUCCUUGAAUUGCUCCCAUGCCUCGUAGAAUGAUUCGACGGGGCCUUGUUGGAAACUUUAGAUCUUUUUUCUCAACU